UUGUAGCAAUACAACUGGCGCACGGCGCACGGGUGCGUAACACGUGGGUAACCUGCCCUUUGGUGGGGAAUAACUCCGCGAAAGCGGAGCUAAUUCCGCAUAAGAUCCGCAAGGAUGAAAGCCGCAAGGCGCCGAAGGAGGGGCCCGCGCCCGAUUAGCUAGUUGGUAGGGUAACGGCCUACCAAGGCUUUGAUCGGUAGCUGGUCUGAGAGGAUGAUCAGCCACACUGGAACUGAGACACGGUCCAGACUCCUACGGGAGGCAGCAGUGGGGAAUCUUGCACAAUGGGCGAAAGCCUGAUGCAGCGACGCCGCGCGGGGGAUGAAGCAUUUCGGUGUGUAAACCCCUUUCGAUCCGGACGAAACCCCGCAAGGGAUUGACGGUACGGAUAUAAGAAGCCCCGGCUAACUACGUGCCAGCAGCCGCGGUAAGACGUAGGGGGCCAGCGUUGUUCGGAAUCACUGGGUGUAAAGGGUUCGUAGGCGGUGCGGCAAGUUGGGAGUGAAAUCUCUGGGCUUAACCCAGAGGCUGCUUCCAAAACUGCUGUGCUUGAGUGUGGGAGAGGCGCGUGGAAUUGCAGGUGUAGCGGUGAAAUGCGUAGAUAUCUGCAGGGACACCCGUGGCGAAAGCGGCGCGCUGGACCACUACUGACGCUGAGGAACGAAAGCUAGGGGAGCAAACAGGAUUAGAUACCCUGGUAGUCCUAGCCCUAAACGAUCAGGACUUGGGGUGCCACCCGUUCGGGUGUCGUCCCGGAGCUAACGCGUUAAGUCCUGCACCUGGGGAGUACGGUCCCAAGACUGAACUC
rnacentral:rRNA from 1 species